GACAGAGGGUGCAAACGUUGCUCGGAAUUACUGGGCGUAAAGCGCGUGUAGGCUGACCGGAAAGUCGGGCGUGAAAUCCCUGGGCUCAACCCAGGAACUGCACUCGAAACUCCCGGUCUUGAGUGGUGGAGAGGGAAGUGGAAUUCCUGGUGUAGAGGUGAAAUUCGUAGAUAUCAGGAGGAACACCAGUGGCGAAGGCGGCAUCCUGGACCGGUAUUGACGCUGAGGCGCGAAAGCCAGGGGAGCAAACGGG
rnacentral:rRNA from 1 species